rnacentral:rRNA from 1 species
UACAGAGGUCUCAAGCGUUGUUCGGAUUCAUUGGGCGUAAAGGGUGCGUAGGUGGCGAGGCAAGUCAGAUGUGAAAUCCCGGGGCUCAACCCCGGAACUGCAUUUGAAACUGCCUUGCUCGAGUACUGGAGAGGAGACUGGAAUUUACGGGUGUAGCAGUGAAAUGCGUAGAUAUCGUAAGGAAGACCAGUGGCGAAGGCGAGUCUCUGGACAGUUACUGACACUGAGGCACGAAGGCCAGGGGAGCAAACGGG